CAAAAACGAAAGCUUUCUUUAUUCUCUCUUCUUUCAACUUGAAUCUAACAUUCUCAUCCCUAUCUAAUCCUUCUCCUGAUCUCCUCCAAGAAAUCUGUGUGCGCGUCUCUCUCUCUAAGCCUAGCGAAGAUGAUGCAUAUGACCUUAUACUGGGGCAUCGAGGUAACGCUCUUGUUUGAUUCUUGGAAAACCGAUUCAUGGCUGAGUUACUUCCUCUCCUUGCUCGCCUGCUUCCUCUUCUCCUCCUUCUACCAAUACA
rnacentral:misc_RNA from 1 species